GGAAUAUUGCACAAUGGGCGCAAGCCUGAUGCAGCCAUGCCGCGUGUAUGAAGAAGGCCUUCGGGUUGUAAAGUACUUUCAGCGGGGAGGAAGGUGUUGUGGUUAAUAACCGCAGCAAUUGACGUUACCCGCAGAAGAAGCACCGGCUAACUCCGUGCCAGCAGCCGCGGUAAUACGGAGGGUGCAAGCGUUAAUCGGAAUUACUGGGCGUAAAGCGCACGCAGGCGGUCUGUCAAGUCGGAUGUGAAAUCCCCGGGCUCAACCUGGGAACUGCAUUCGAAACUGGCAGGCUAGAGUCUUGUAGAGGGGGGUAGAAUUCCAGGUGUAGCGGUGAAAUGCGUAGAGAUCUGGAGGAAUACCGGUGGCGAAGGCGGCCCCCUGGACAAAGACUGACGCUCAGGUGCGAAAGCGUGGGGAGCAAACAGGA
rnacentral:misc_RNA from 1 species